rnacentral:rRNA from 1 species
GACGAACGCUGGCGGCGUGCUUAACACAUGCAAGUCGAACGGAAAGGCCCCUUUGGGGGUACUCGAGUGGCGAACGGGUGAGUAACACGUGAGUAACCUGCCCUUGACUUCGGGAUAACUUCAGGAAACUGGGGCUAAUACCGGAUAGGAAUCCUUGCUGCAUGGUGGGGGUUGGAAAGCUUCGGCGGUUUUGGAUGGACUCGUGGCUUAUCAGCUUGUUGGUGGGGUAGUGGCUUACCAAGGCUUUGACGGGUAGCCGGCCUGAGAGGGCGACCGGCCACAUUGGGACUGAGAUACGGCCCAGACUCCUACGGGAGGCAGCAGUGGGGAAUAUUGCACAAUGGGCGGAAGCCUGAUGCAGCAACGCCGCGUGCGGGAUGACGGCCUUCGGGUUGGAAACCGCUUUCAGCAGGGGCGAAGCUUGUGGUGACGGUACCUGCAGAAGAAGCACCGGCUAACUACGUG